rnacentral:rRNA from 1 species
AGCUCCAAUAGCGUAUAUUAAUGUUGUUGCAGUUAAAAAGCUCGUAGUUGGAUUUGUGGUUCGUCCUGCCGGCUGGGCCUUUUGGCCUUUGCUGUGCUGGUCGUCCAUCCUUGGGUGGAAUCUGUGUGGCAUUAGGUUGUCGCGCAGGGGAUGCCCAUCGUUUACUGUGAGAAAAUUAGAUCGCUUCAAGAAGGCUUAUGCCGUUGAAUAUGUUAGCAUGGAAUAAUAAUAUAGGACCUUGGUACUAUUUUGUUGGUUUGCGCACUGAGGUAAUGAUUAAUAGGGACAGUUGGGGGUAUUCGUAUUCCAUUGUAAGAGGUGAAAUUCUUGGAUUUUUGGAAGACGAACUACUGCGAAAGCAUUUACCAAGGAUGUUUUCAUUAAUCAAGAACGAAAGUAG